rnacentral:lncRNA from 1 species
UUUUCCAGACGUGAUGGUGCCAUACGCUUCCAUUACAAUCACAAGCUGCAUUUGAGGGGUUUCAUGUUACUGUCGAAUUUGAUUGUAAUUUUCUAUUUUGGCACGAUCUAUUCUGUAGUGUUUGGUGCUUUAAUUCAUUUAUAUCAGGUAUAAGACUAAAAUAAACAUGUGCACGAAUGGAAAUUACCUACCAAUGAGGAUAAAGAAUUAACCAUCUUAUAGCGAGGCAUGCAUCCAAACAAUCCUAUCCCUAGCUAACUAUUACUCCCUCCG